CAGUCGCCGCGGUAAUACGGAGGAUCCGAGCGUUAUCCGGAAUUAUUGGGUUUAAAGGGUGCGUAGGCGGACAGAUAAGUCAGUGGUGAAAGACGGUGGCUCAACCAUCGCAGUGCCGUUGAUACUGUUUGUCUUGAAUAUGGAUGAGGUAGGCGGAAUGUGGCAAGUAGCGGCGAAAUGCACAGAUAUGCCACAGAACACCGAUUGCGAAGGCAGCUUACCAAGGCAAUAUUGACGCUGAGGCACGAAAGCGUGGGGAGCAAACAGGAUUAGAUACCCGUGUAGUCCCUGUCUCUUAUAA
rnacentral:rRNA from 1 species